rnacentral:rRNA from 1 species
GAUGAACGCUGGCGGCGUGCUUAACACAUGCAAGUCGAGCGAAGCAGUUAAGUUGAUUUCUUCGGAUUGAUUCUUGACUGACUGAGCGGCGGACGGGUGAGUAACGCGUGGGUGACCUGCCCCAUACCGGGGGAUAACAGCUGGAAACGGCUGCUAAUACCGCAUAAGCGCACAGAGCUGCAUGGCUCGGUGUGAAAAACUCCGGUGGUAUGGGAUGGGCCCGCGUCUGAUUAGGCAGUUGGCGGGGUAACGGCCCACCAAACCGACGAUCAGUAGCCGGCCUGAGAGGGCGACCGGCCACAUUGGGACUGAUACACGGCCCAAACUCCUACGGGAGGCAGCAGUGGGGAAUAUUGCACAAUGGGGGAAACCCUGAUGCAGCGACGCCGCGUGAGCGAAGAAGUAUUUCGGUAUGUAAAGCUCUAUCAGCAGGGAAGAUAAUGACGGUACCUGACAAAGAAGCCCCGGCUAACUACGUGCCAGCAGCCGCCGUAA